rnacentral:rRNA from 1 species
UACGUAGGGUGCGAGCGUUGUCCGGAAUUAUUGGGCGUAAAGGGCUCGUAGGCGGUUUGUCGCGUCGGGAGUGAAAACCCAGGGCUUAACUCUGGGCUUGCUUUCGAUACGGGCAGACUAGAGGUAUGCAGGGGAGAACGGAAUUCCUGGUGUAGCGGUGAAAUGCGCAGAUAUCAGGAGGAACACCGGUGGCGAAGGCGGUUCUCUGGACAUUACCUGACGCUGAGGAGCGAAAGUGUGGGGAGCGAACAGG